GACGAACGCUGGCGGCGUGCCUAAUACAUGCAAGUCGAACGAAGCUGUUUUAACUGGUGCUUGCACCGACUUAAACAACUGAGUGGCGAACGGGUGAGUAACACGUGGGUAACCUGCCCCAAAGCGGGGGAUAACAUUUGGAAACAGAAGCUAAUACCGCAUAACCACAGAAACCACAUGGUUUCUGUGUCAAAGAUGGUUUCGGCUAUCACUUUGGGAUGGACCCGCGGCGUAUUAGCUAGUUGGUAAGGUAAUGGCUUACCAAGGCAAGGAUACGUAGCCGAACUGAGAGGUUGAUCGGCCACAUUGGGACUGAGACACGGCCCAAACUCCUACGGGAGGCAGCAGUAGGGAAUCUUCCACAAUGGACGAAAGUCUGAUGGAGCAACGCCGCGUGAGUGAAGAAGGUUUUCGGAUCGUAAAACUCUGUUGUCAGAGAAGAACGUGUGCGAGAGUAACUGCUCGUGCAGUGACGGUAUCUGGCCAGAAAGCCACGGCUAACUACGUGCCAGCAGCCGCCGUAA
rnacentral:rRNA from 1 species